GUGAGUGCUUGUGAUCCGCGUCAAUAGCUGCAGUUUCUUGUGCUGAAAUCCAGUGAAGGGCCACGUCGACCCAUCACAUUUGCAACAUCUCCCUCCCCUCCUCUCUGGAUGGUAAACUCCACAAGUAACAGAGGCUCUCGCCCAGGCUUUCCCCUCGCUGCUUCCACCUCCUGAUCAACCCUGGUGCUUCCCCAUGUGGCCCUGCCUGGUGUGACAUGCCCUCUCCUCUCGGGAGCUAGCCUGGAAAAGCCAACAUGAGACCCCGGCACAUCCAAGGUGGUGUGGGGCACUGGGACCCCCAGAAAAGGAGCAUCUGGAUCUGAUGGGAGUAGGAGCUCCACUGGAGGCUUCAGGAGGUACCCUCAGUAAUGAAAGGUGAAGUGGAAGGAGCCAGAACAUCCCACCCAGCAGAGACGAGG
rnacentral:lncRNA from 1 species